rnacentral:tRNA from 1 species
GUCAGGAUGGCCGAGCGGUCUAAGGCGCCAGACUCAAGGGCACCCUUGUCCCUUACCCGUUCGAACCUGGGUCGAGUGUUCUGGUCCUCGUCUGAGGGCGUGGGUUCAAAUCCCACUCCUGACA